UACGGAGGGGGCUAGCGUUGUUCGGAGUUACUGGGCGUAAAGGGUGUGUAGGCGGUUUUCUAAGUUUGGUGUGAAAUCUCCCGGCUCAACCGGGAGGGUGCGCCGAAAACUGGGAGACUAGAGUGCGGGAUGGGAGAGUAGAAUUCCUGGUGUAGCGGUGAAAUGCGUAGAUAUCAGGAGGAAUACCGGUGGUGUAGACGGCUCUCUGGACCGCCACUGACGCUGAGACACGAAAGCGUGGGUAGCAAACAGG
rnacentral:rRNA from 1 species